rnacentral:rRNA from 1 species
GACUCCUGGCUCGGAUUGAACGCUGGCGGCAGGCCUAACACAUGCAAGUCGAACGGUAACAGGAAGCAGCUUGCUGCUUUGCUGACGAGUGGCGGACGGGUGAGUAAUGUCUGGGAAACUGCCCGAUGGAGGGGGAUAACUACUGGAAACGGUAGCUAAUACCGCAUAACGUCGCAAGACCAAAGAGGGGGACCUUAGGGCCUCUUGCCAUCGGAUGUGCCCAGAUGGGAUUAGCUAGUAGGUGGGGUAAAGG